UACGUAGGGGGCAAGCGUUGUCCGGAUUUAUUGGGCGUAAAGAGCGUGUAGGCGGCCAGGUAGGUCUGCUGUGAAAACUCGAGGCUCAACCUCGAGACGCCGGCGGAAACCAUCUGGCUAGAGUCCGGAAGAGGAGAGUGGAAUUCCUGGUGUAGCGGUGAAAUGCGUAGAUAUCAGGAAGAACACCCGUGGCGAAGGCGGCUCUCUGGGACGGUACUGACGCUGAGACGCGAAAGCGUGGGGAGCGAACAGG
rnacentral:rRNA from 1 species